AUGCUUUGGCAGCACAUAUUCUAAAAUUGGAAUGAUACAGAGAAGAUUAGCAUGGCCCUGCACAAACAGGAUGACACACAAGUUUGUGAAGCAGUCUAUUUUUUU